UGGGGAAUAUUGGACAAUGGGCGCAAGCCUGAUCCAGCAAUGCCGCGUGUGUGAAGAAGGCCCUCGGGUUGUAAAGCACUUUUAUCAGGAGCGAAAUCUGCAUGGCUAAUACCCAUGUAGUCUGACGGUACCUGAGGAAUAAGCACCGGCUAACUCCGUGCCAGCAGCCGCGGUAAUACGGAGGGUGCAAGCGUUAAUCGGAAUUACUGGGCGUAAAGCGUGCGUAGGCGGUUCGUUAAGUCUGCUGUGAAAGCCCCGGGCUCAACCUGGGAAUGGCAGUGGAUACUGGCGAGCUAGAGUGUGAUAGAGGAUGGUGGAAUUCCCGGUGUAGCGGUGAAAUGCGUAGAGAUCGGGAGGAACAUCAGUGGCGAAGGCGGCCAUCUGGAUCAACACUGACGCUGAGGCACGAAAGCGUGGGGAGCAAACA
rnacentral:rRNA from 1 species